rnacentral:rRNA from 1 species
AUUGAACGCUGGCGGCAGGCCUAACACAUGCAAGUCGAACGGUAACAGGAAGCAGCUUGCUGCUUUGCUGACGAGUGGCGGACGGGUGAGUAAUGUCUGGGAAACUGCCCGAUGGAGGGGGAUAACUACUGGAAACGGUAGCUAAUACCGCAUAACGUCGCAAGACCAAAGAGGGGGACCUUAGGGCCUCUUGCCAUCGGAUGUGCCCAGAUGGGAUUAGCUAGUAGGUGGGGUAACGGCUCACCUAGGCGACGAUCCCUAGCUGGUCUGAGAGGAUGACCAGCCACACUGGAACUGAGACACGGUCCAGACUCCUACGGGAGGCAGCAGUGGGGAAUAUUGCACAAUGGGCGCAAGCCUGAUGCAGCCAUGCCGAGUGUAUGAAGAAGGCCUUCGGGUUGUAAAGUACUUUCAGCGGGGAGGAAGGGAGUAAAGUUAAUACCUUUGCUCAUUGACGUUACCCGCAGAAGAAGCACCGGCUAACUCCGUG